UGCAAGAGCCGUGUUUGAGUACAGACAUUUCUAAGUCUGUUAUCCACAUUAUCUUUCAUUUGAAGUCAAUAGCAAAAGAACAAUCUUUUCAUGAAAGCAUUAAAUUUUUUAGGAUGCUUGCUAAUUAAAAUUAUGUGCUUAAACGUGGAAAAUUUUUAGCAUGAAAUAUCUGUUGUCAGUAAGAAACCCUGCAGCUUCUUCAAGCACACUAGUAUACUUGCAUGGCACACAUACGCAAGCAUUCACUACUUGCAGAAGUUAUUAUCAGGUAGCACUACUAGGCAUUCUUAACUGUAGUGGAAAUCUUAUGUACAGAUGAAAACUAACAGAUGGAAGCUCAUAGUGAUCACUGAGGAUCUCUAAACAGGAAUAAGUACCUAAGACAAGCUGGUCAACAUUUUCAUACAUGGACGUAUUUUCGUCAAAGGCGCCUCAUCAUUCUUUGCAUGCUAGGUUUCAAAAAAGUUACAAUGAUGUCUUCUUCGUGGUGUUCUUCUUGUAAUGCAACACAUAGUGUCAAUGUCAGUACUCUUGAAAUUAACAUGGGGAAGGAUGGCAAGGACCUUUAAUGAUGAUGUGCCCACCUAUCAAAAUGUCGAUCAUGCUGACUAGAGGUACUUCUUCAAACAACCUAUGUAGCAUUAUAUUAAUGUAUUAUGUUUGUGUAAUUCCUGUUUUAUGAACUUUGUACUUUUUCAGAGGCCGUGAGGCGAAAUUUUCCGGAAACAAAAAAAAAUGACAUCGAGUGUGUGAUUAAAGUGUGGCUUCGGCAUGCUGGGGAAAAGCUCCAGAAGCAGCGCUUAAGAACUUCUCGCACUCACCAUGAGGAAUGUCUUCAAAGUGUCGCGUUGUCAAGCCCAUCGGAUGAAGACCUCUGAAGGCACAGGGCAAGAAGUCUCAUCUAGUGAAAACUGCCAAGUUUCAUUCCUGAAAAUAAACAUGUUUUCUGUGCA